UCUUCCACUUACUAAUGAGGAAACUGAAACCCUGGGAAAUUAAGUUGCUUUCCAGGCCUGCAGAGCUGGUAAGUGGUGGGACGCAGGCUGUAUCGGAGCUCGGGCCUCCCUGACUCCAAAGCACAAGCAAUUAUCAACACGCUCCACUUCUUCAUCCUCACCGAAUGAUGGGAGGCAAGGUGCUCACAAUGUCUGAGUUUCCAUCGAAGGAGGACGAUCCAUAUUGACCUUGCCGGCUCUCACCGCGUGGCCGGGAUUCCCAAAGUAGAUCACAUAAACUCUAAAGGAUGGAAAAUGCUACAGAGAAGCACGAGAUGGACAACACUUCUAUCACGGCCAUGACAAACUGACUCACAAAUGGAAGACAUGUCACCCAGUUCCUCUGCCCGCCAGCAGCAUGACUUAAAAUAUAAGAUGCUCUUUAGUGUGUUGUAAUGAAAGGAAGGUAGAUUUCGGUGUCACGGAGAUGCUUUCCAGGCUGACAAGCAAUUUACCUUCUCUGAGUCACAAUUUCUAAUCUAGAAAAUGCAGUUAAUAAUGCCAGCCUUUGAGGAUUUUCAUAGAGAAUAAAGGAUUUAAUGCACAGGCAGUGCCUGGCUGGA